rnacentral:rRNA from 1 species
UACGGAGGGUGCAAGCGUUGUCCGGAAUCACUGGGCGUAAAGGGCGCGUAGGCGGCUCAUGAAGGCUGUGGUGACAGUCCGGGGCUCAACCUCGGAUCGGCCGUGGCGACUCGUGGGCUGGAGCACUGUAGAGGCGGGUGGAAUUCCGGGUGUAGCGGUGGAAUGCGUAGAGAUCCGGAAGAACACCGGUGGCGAAGGCGGUGAGCUGGGCAGUUGCUGACACUGAGGCGCGACAGCGUGGGGAGCAAACAGG